rnacentral:rRNA from 1 species
UACAGAGGGUGCGAGCGUUAAUCGGAAUUACUGGGCGUAAAGCGUGCGUAGACGGCUAUCUAAGUCGGGUGUGAAAGCCCCGGGCUCAACCUGGGAAUUGCAUUCGAGACUGAAUAGCUAGGGUACGGUAGAGGGAAGUGGAAUUCCCGGUGUAGCGGUGAAAUGCGUAGAUAUCGUGAGGAACACCAGAGGCGAAGGCGGCUACCUGGACAAUUGCUGACGCUCAGGCACGAAAGCGUGGGGAGCAAAAGGG